rnacentral:rRNA from 1 species
ACUGAACGCUGGCGGCAGGCCUAACACAUGCAAGUCGAACGAGUGGCGGACGGGUGAGUAAUGUCUGGGACACUGCCUGAUGGAGGGGGAUAACUACUGGAAACGGUAGCUAAUACCGCAUACCAUCAGAUGUGUCCAGAUGGGCUUAGCUUGUUGGUGGGGUAACGGCUCACCACGUCGACGCUCCCUAGCUGGUCUGAGAGGAUGACUAGCAACACUGGAACUGAUACACGGUACAGACGCCUACGGGAGGCAGCAGUGGGGAAUUGUGCACAGUGGGCGCAAGCCUGAUGCAGCCAUGCCGCGUGUAUGAAGAAGGCCUUCGGGUUGUAAAGUACUUUCAGCGGGGAGGCGUUACCCGCAGAAGAAGCACCGGCUAACUCCGUGCCAGCAGCCGCGGUAAUUC